GAAGGUUUAGUUAAAAAAUAACAUUAGAAUGUCAAACUAAAAUUAUCAAAAAUAUGGUAACCUUUU
rnacentral:tRNA from 1 species